rfam:Triticum aestivum genome assembly, contig: Triticum_aestivum_CS42_TGACv1_scaffold_527014_6DL
AAUAUACUCCCUCCGUCCCAAAAUUCUUGUCGUAAAUUUGUCUAGAUACGAAUGUAUCAAGACACCUUUUAGUAUUAGAUAUAUCCGUAUCUAGACAAAUUUAAGACAACAAUUUUGAGACAGAGGAAGUAUAUA